CGAGGAGAACAAUCGAACCAUAAUGUGGGAGGGAUGAAGAGGCAGAGCGGAGGAGGAAGAGCAGGUUGUGAUAAUGAUGAAUGAGAUGAUGGCACACUGACCUAGUAAUGCAGCAGCUUCAUUGCCAGUGGGGAGCUUGUGUUGUUCUCCAGGCUCCCCCUGCGAUGUGAACGACUGUUUUAUCAAUGAGGCGAGUCAAACAUGCAGGCCUGGCUCAGCACUGGACAUCCCUCCUGCAUCCCUUCCUCCUCCUCCUCCUCCGUCUCCUCUGAGAGCCACUGCCAGACCCUGCACAAGCCCCUGGCCAAGAUGGCUGCCAUGUGCAGCUUUGUGGUUGCCUGCUGGUCAUAGUGGUUUGUCAUGUGAUACCAAAAAGAGGAGGGCCAGAGUGAUAUGCAAAGUCUGCUGGGAAACGCUUCAAGGGAUCAGAAAACCACCUCAAAAGCAUCGGAUUGAAACACAAGUUGGUUUGUGAUUAUAUUUCUGUUUAACAAGCAACACUGAAAGCAUUCAACCUCUAUUAAGCUUUGUUUUGUUUUCCUGUAACAGUUUGCAAUUACACAAUCUUAUUAGCUACAGAAAUGCAGAAAAAACAUUCAGAUAUUGGAUAUUGAUUCUAUAAAUAGUGAACGAGAUUACAUCGUGUACUACAUACAAGUAAGAGUAACGUCUCAUACUUGGAAAGAAAAUACUCAUUAAGGGGCAUGCGCCCUCUGUAAGAGAAAAGAUGGUUAAAUAUAUGUUAAUUAAAAUAAUCAUUACAAUAAUGGGAGUAGCUGUAACAAUAGUUGUUGCUUCCACUGCUGAUAAGACGCUGUUAUCAAUCUGAUGUAGGCAAGACUGCGAGGGGGUGUGAGAGCAGGAGACCCAAAGGGGCAAUUAACCUGCCUUUAUACCCCCGCCAUCUUUAAAGUUUACAGAUCAAAGUAUCCCCAAAGUUUAAAGCAUUCCUGCGUACUCAGAAAACCCACAUGCAAAAAUCAGGCCAGAGGAAUAUGGAAAUUUGAGGUUUGUUUGAGUUUUUUCAAAUUAAAGUUGACCUUUAAGUUUGUCACCCAGUAAAACACUUUUUUUCUCCAGACAGGGACUUUUUGACCUUCACUGCUUUUGAAAUAAAUCUGGGCUGACCUCGCCCCGCUAAGCUGCCUGACAGGGACUUGUUUGGAUAUCGUUCCUGGGCCUCUUCCCAGUGUCUUUCUCAUUUUUAAUAUUCUUAUCUAAGAAAUUUCUUAUUGUUAAUGUAAUUUUCACUCCCUCUGGUUCCAAAUGCUCGAUGCCAGACUGAACAUAAUUCCCACACCUAUCCUAG